rnacentral:rRNA from 1 species
AGAGAUCUUUCGGGAUCUUGAGAGCGGCGUACGGGUGCGGAACACGUGUGCAACCUGCCUUUAUCUGGGGGAUAGCCUUUCGAAAGGAAGAUUAAUACCCCAUAAUAUAUUGAAUGGCAUCAUUUGAUAUUGAAAACUCCGGUGGAUAGAGAUGGGCACGCGCAAGAUUAGAUAGUUGGUGAGGUAACGGCUCACCAAGUCAGCGAUCUUUAGGGGGCCUGAGAGGGUGAUCCCCCACACUGGUACUGAGACACGGACCAGACUCCUACGGGAGGCAGCAGUGAGGAAUAUUGGACAAUGGGUGAGAGCCUGAUCCAGCCAUCCCGCGUGAAGGACGACGGCCCUAUGGGUUGUAAACUUCUUUUGUAUAGGGAUAAACCUACCCUCGUGAGGGUAGCUGAAGGUACUAUACGAAUAAGCACCGGCUAACUCCGUGCCAGCAGCCGCGGUAAUACGGAGGGUGCAAGCGUUAUCCGGAUUUAUUGGGUUUAAAGGGUCCGUAGGCUGAUUUGUAAGUCAGUGGUGAAAUCUCACAGCUUAACUGUGAAACUGCCAUUGAUACUGCAAGUCUUGAGUGUUGUUGAAGUAGCUGGAAUAAGUAGUGUAGCGGUGAAAUGCAUAGAUAUUACUUAGAACACCAAUUGCGAAGGCAGGUUACUAAGCAACAACUGACGCUGAUGGACGAAAGCGUGGGGAGCGAACAGGAUUAGAUACCCUGGUAGUCCACGCCGUAAACGAUGCUAACUCGUUUUUGGGCUUUUGGGUUCAGAGACUAAGCGAAAGUGAUAAGUUAGCCACCUGGGGAGUACGAACGCAAGUUUGAAACUCAAAGGAAUUGACGGGGGCCCGCACAAGCGGUGGAUUAUGUGGUUUAAUUCGAUGAUACGCGAGGAACCUUACCAAGGCUUAAAUGGGAAAUGACAGGCUUAGAAAUAGGCUUUUCUUCGGACAUUUUUCAAGGUGCUGCAUGGUUGUCGUCAGCUCGUGCCGUGAGGUGUUAGGUUAAGUCCUGCAACGAGCGCAACCCCUGUCACUAGUUGCCAUCAUUAAGUUGGGGACUCUAGUGAGACUGCCUACGCAAGUAGAGAGGAAGGUGGGGAUGACGUCAAAUCAUCACGGCCCUUACGCCUUGGGCCACACACGUAAUACAAUGGCCGGUACAGAGGGCAGCUACACUGCGAAGUGAUGCAAAUCUCGAAAGCCGGUCUCAGUUCGGAUUGGAGUCUGCAACUCGACUCUAUGAAGCUGGAAUCGCUAGUAAUCGCGCAUCAGCCAUGGCGCGGUGAAUACGUUCCCGGGCCUUGUACACACCGCCCGUCAAGCCAUGGAAGUCUGGGGUACCUGAAG